UUGACCUUUUCAAAGCGUCAAAAUGGCAGACAGCGUGAGAACGAUUCUUGGUUCUUCAACAGAGUUCUUAGCAGUUGCUGGCACAUUGUCAGUGUCAUAUAUUGCUUUAAAGUUGUGUUUUUCGAUACUUAAAGCGCUCCAGACAUAUGUGUUUUCAAGAUUUUCAGGAAUCGGACCUUAUCUACGCAAGAAGGGAGAGUGGGCAGUUGUGACUGGUGCCACAGAUGGGAUAGGAAAGGAGUAUGCUAUAAAACUGGCUUCUUUUGGCAUGAACAUUGUUCUCAUCAGCCGAACCCAAUCAAAACUUGAACAAGUUGCAGCUGAAAUAGAGUCUGCCCAGAAGGUGAAAACUAAGGUUAUUGCAGCUGAUUACUCACAUGGUACAUCAGUAUAUGAUGACAUUAGGAAUAAACUACAGGGUCUUGAUAUAGGAGUUUUAGUAAACAAUGUAGGUCUAUCAUAUGAGUUUCCAGAUUAUUUCCUGGAGGUUCCAGAUAGAGAUAAUUUUUUCAUGAAGCUUCUUCAUGUGAACUGUACUUCAAUGACUAUGAUGACAAGUAUAGUAUUACCUGGUAUGGUCCAGAAGAAGAAAGGUGCAGUAAUUAAUGUAGCAUCAGCUGCCGGGUCUACACCUACACCCCUGUUGUCAGUAUACUCUGCUUGUAAGGCAUAUGUACGGUACCUGUCAGAAUGUUUAGAAUUCGAGUAUGCUGAUAAAGGAAUUACUGUUCAGUGUGUUAGCCCGUAUUUUGUGUGUAGCAAUAUGAGUAAAGUACGUAGACCAAGUUUGUUCAUCCCAUCUGCGAAGUCGUACGUGUGCUCGGCCUUGAACACUGUGGGGUUCAGCUCUGUUACCAAUGGUUACUGGCCUCAUGCAUUAACACACCGGGUUGUGGAAAUUUUACCUCAAAAGGUUGCUCAAGGUAUCGUUUGCAACUUUUUGACUGCAGCUGGCAAACGUGCCUAAAAAGAGAAUGGCCGCAAAGAAAGCUAGCUAAUUAUGCUAACAUUCUGCACACCCAUGUGAAGCUGUUUAAUGGGAAGAUGCCAAUGGGAAAAGAUUUGUGAAAAAUAAUGGUAACCAUCUUAGGACUUAUCUGUGACAAGAUUUCUUUUCUUCAGUAUUCCGGACUGACCAAUUACAGUCUCGAUUAAACAGGGACCAAAGCUCAAAGACAUUUUUUCUACUUAGUUUUUGUGCGUACUUUUUCUGUUUGUAUUUACCAUGUCUUUUUUAUAUGAUUGUAUGUGUAAACUGUAAUGUAUGUAAAAUUAUAUGGAAUGUAUGUUUCUAAAUUGUAGUAUGCUUACACUAAACUAUUUCGCUCUUUAUACUGUGUACUUCUGCAUAUCAUCUCUGCCAACUACAAUAUUUUUACACUGCAUAAUGAUGUAAACUGUUAGCAUACACAUACACUUGAUAACACAUGUUUAUUUAAGAAAUAAUAAGUAUCAAAAUUAGGUUAAUCGUAGAAUAAUCCUCGUUUGGAGUUCUUAUGCGUAUAAAUAUAUCACGAAGGCCAAAGGCCCGAGUGAUAUAUUCCUACACAUAAGAAUGACAAACGAGGGUUAUUCUACGAUAAACCUUAUUUAGAUACUUAUUAUUUCGAUUCUAACACGACUUACUUCAAAUAACAUUAGACGACAAUCGGAGAAGUAUUUUCAUCAAACGUAAAUUACAACUGCGUGCUACUUUACAGCAUUAGCCAAAACAGUGUGUGUGCAGCAUACUUCAAGGUCGGUUUAUUGCAGAAUAACCAGAGAUAGAUUUUGCUCUACAAAUAUGUAGGUUAUUAGCUGGUUGUGUUAAAAUAUUUAAUAAAUGAUGUAUUGCAGAAGCAUGUUUUAAUUAAUUUAAUCAUGAAUUUUUUUUUACAAUCCAUGGAAGUAUUCAAGGAGGACAUUACUCUAGGUGAAGUUUUCUGUGUGCUGUAAAAUCACUUCAUUGUUUAAACUAAUUAGAGUAUAAGCUUCUGCUAUAUUUAUUACAUUUCUGAUAUAUCUUUUUAAGUAAUAUUUGUAAAUCAAACUAUGUUGCACUACUAGUAUAUCUUUUAUACGUAGUAUCUAUAAAUCAAACAUCGUUGCACUACUAGUAUUUCUUUGCCUUUGUAAUCAAGUUGACACGAUUUCUCUUUGUGUAUUAUUGAAAUAUACAUGAUUUUUAUGUUAAAAGUUCCAGUUUUUAUUUUUCCAUUUUGGAGUUCUGGCUAUUUCAUUUAUUUACCCAGCUACCUUAGUUACCAAGUACAAUAAAAUGUGAUCCUUAGAAAAUGUCAUUAAUAUAUGCCCUAGUGAAAAUGAUUUGUGCUGCCUAUGUAGUGAAUGGAACCAAUCCAGUUCAUUUAAUGUUUGUCAGUAGUUGUAUAGAUUUUUUUUACUUUUUACAAUUUUAUCUCUAAGCAUUUCACCAAUUAUUGCUGUAAGUUAGUGUAAAUCGGAAGGCAUAUUUUUGCUAUGACAGUUUUGAGUCUUUUUGUUAAAGUGAAAUUGAAUCCGUUUGUAACAUCCUGAUUUAUUUAUAUACUGUGAUUAAAGUCUAUUAAAGUUU
rnacentral:misc_RNA from 1 species